UGGGGGAUCGUCCAAUGGCAGGACUGCAGACUCUGGAUCUGCCUAUCUAGGUUCGAAUCCUAGUCCCCCAGCCA
rnacentral:tRNA from 1 species